UACGAAGGGGGCUAGCGUUGCUCGGAAUCACUGGGCGUAAAGGGUGCGUAGGCGGGUCUUUAAGUCAGGGGUGAAAUCCUGGAGCUCAACUCCAGAACUGCCUUUGAUACUGAGGAUCUUGAGUUCGGGAGAGGUGAGUGGAACUGCGAGUGUAGAGGUGAAAUUCGUAGAUAUUCGCAAGAACACCAGUGGCGAAGGCGGCUCACUGGCCGAUACUGACGCUGAGGCACGAAAGCGUGGG
rnacentral:rRNA from 1 species